GAUGGCGGCGUGCUAUACAUGCAAGUCGAGCGAACAGACGAGGAGCUUGCUCCUCUGACGUUAGCGGCGGACGGGUGAGUAACACGUGGAUAACCUACCUAUAAGACUGGGAUAACUUCGGGAAACCGGAGCUAAUACCGGAUAAUAUAUUGAACCGCAUGGUUCAAUAGUGAAAGACGGUUUUGCUGUCACUUAUAGAUGGAUCCGCGCCGCAUUAGCUAGUUGGUAAGGUAACGGCUUACCAAGGCAACGAUGCGUAGCCGACCUGAGAGGGUGAUCGGCCACACUGGAACUGAGACACGGUCCAGACUCCUACGGGAGGCAGCAGUAGGGAAUCUUCCGCAAUGGGCGAAAGCCUGACGGAGCAACGCCGCGUGAGUGAUGAAGGUCUUCGGAUCGUAAAACUCUGUUAUUAGGGAAGAACAAAUGUGUAAGUAACUAUGCACGUCUUGACGGUACCUAAUCAGAAAGCCACGGCUAACUACGUGCCAGCAGCCGCGGUAAUACGUAGGUGGCAAGCGUUAUCCGGAAUUAUUGGGCGUAAAGCGCGCGUAGGCGGUUUUUUAAGUCUGAUGUGAAAGCCCACGGCUCAACCGUGGAGGGUCAUUGGAAACUGGAAAACUUGAGUGCAGAAGAGGAAAGUGGAAUUCCAUGUGUAGCGGUGAAAUGCGCAGAGAUAUGGAGGAACACCAGUGGCGAAGGCGACUUUCUGGUCUGUAACUGACGCUGAUGUGCGAAAGCGUGGGGAUCAAACAGGAUUAGAUACCCUGGUAGUCCACGCCGUAAACGAUGAGUGCUAAGUGUUAGGGGGUUUCCGCCCCUUAGUGCUGCAGCUAACGCAUUAAGCACUCCGCCUGGGGAGUACGACCGCAAGGUUGAAACUCAAAGGAAUUGACGGGGACCCGCACAAGCGGUGGAGCAUGUGGUUUAAUUCGAAGCAACGCGAAGAACCUUACCAAAUCUUGACAUCCUCUGACCCCUCUAGAGAUAGAGUUUUCCCCUUCGGGGGACAGAGUGACAGGUGGUGCAUGGUUGUCGUCAGCUCGUGUCGUGAGAUGUUGGGUUAAGUCCCGCAACGAGCGCAACCCUUAAGCUUAGUUGCCAUCAUUAAGUUGGGCACUCUAAGUUGACUGCCGGUGACAAACCGGAGGAAGGUGGGGAUGACGUCAAAUCAUCAUGCCCCUUAUGAUUUGGGCUACACACGUGC
rnacentral:rRNA from 1 species